GUUGUCGGAUUCACUUCAAUCCACGUGUUUUGGUGUGGAUUGGAGUGAUUUUUUUUUAAAAAAAUUCUACUCCAAUCUACUUUAACACAUGUGGAUUGAUAUGAAUCCAACU
rfam:Sorghum bicolor cultivar BTx623 chromosome 2, whole genome shotgun sequence.